CUGAGCCGAAACCAAGAGUCAGACACUUAACCAACUGAGCCUCUCAGGUGCCCCAAUCAUGAAUUUUUUGAUGCCUUCUGGUUUGAAGAAUGUCCAGCUGCUCCGGUGGUAGCUUAAGAAGACUGCGUGCUGUUCCCUCUUGAUGCCAAGCCAGGCCCGCGCAGAACCUCGGAUCUCAGUCCUUCAUGGAGAUCCGGUCCCAGCAGGAAUGACAGUGCAAGAAAUUGGCACCCAGAUGGUACCUCCACGUGAAGUUGUCUUGAGCUAUGGGCCGACUCGAGAACACCUGGUAACCAGGCUAGCCCUCUGUCAGUCACCCGGGGCCGGGCAGCAUGGUGUGGAUUCAAAGGAGGAAGCUUUUGGCAUCUUGCCUAUGCGUCACAGCCACCGUCUUUCUGCUUGUCACCCUCCAGGUAGUGGUUGAACUGGGAAAAUUUGAAAGGAAGAAGUUUAAAACUUCCAGUUUGCAAGAUGGACAGGCAAAAAUGCAAGAAGAGCCUGCACAUCUCUAUCCACUCCCUGGGAAAGAAACACUGACCUUAAAUAGGAAGACCCACCUGGAACCUGAAAGCCACCCCAUCAUGCUCUGGUGGUCCCCGCUGACGGGGGAGACCGGAAGGCUUGGCCAGUGUGGGGCAGAUGCGUGUUUCUUCACCAUCAACCGGACCUUCCUACAUCAUCCCAUGACCAAAGCAUUCCUCUUCUAUGGCACUGACUUUAAUAUAGAUAGCUUACCUCUGCCUCGGAAAGCCCAUCAUGACUGGGCCCUUUUUCACGAAGAGUCUCCGAAAAACAAUUACAAGCUCUUCCACAAGCCAGUCAUCACCUUGUUCAACUACACUGCCACGUUCAGCCGGCAUUCCCACUUGCCCCUGACCACCCAAUACUUGGAGGGUGUAGAAGUCCUGAAGUCACUCCGAUACCUGGUCCCUUUGAGGUCCAAAAAUGACCUUCGAAGAAGACUUGCUCCGCUGGUAUAUGUCCAGUCAGACUGUGACCCGCCGUCAGACAGGGACAGCUAUGUUCGAGAGCUGAUGACCUACAUCGAGGUCGAUUCCUAUGGUGAGUGUUUACGAAACAAAGAUCUCCCUCAGCAGCUGAAAAAUCCAGCCUCCAUGGAUGCUGAUGGCUUUUAUAGGAUCAUUGCACAGUAUAAGUUUAUCCUCGCCUUCGAGAACGCAGUGUGUGACGACUACAUCACUGAGAAGUUCUGGAGGCCUCUGAAACUGGGGGUGGUCCCUGUGUAUUAUGGGUCCCCCAGCAUUGCAGACUGGCUCCCGAGUAAUAGAAGUGCUAUUCUCGUAUCAGAAUUUGCUCACCCUAGAGAACUGGCAAGUUACAUCAGACAACUGGAUCAUGAUGACAGAUUGUACGAGGCCUACAUAGAGUGGAAGCUGAAGGGUGAGGUCUCCAAUCGGCGACUUCUCACAGCGCUCAGGGAACGGAAAUGGGGAGUGCAGGAUGUCCACCAGGACAACUACAUCGAUGCAUUUGAGUGUAUGGUGUGCAGCAAGGUGUGGGAUAAUAUCCGGCUUCAGGAAAAGGGCUUCCCACCCAAAACAUGGAAGGCCGACGUGACCCACUUGAGUUGCCCGGAGCCUGCAGCAUUCGCUUUCUCGGCUCUGGCUCCGCGCUGGAGCUCUUUGCGGGAGAUGUGGAUACCCAGCUUUGAGCAAUCCAAGAGAGAAGCCCAGGCGCUAAGGUGGCUGGUUGAUAGGAAUAAAAAUUUUUCGGCUCAAGAGUUUUGGGCCCUGGUAUUCAAGGACUGAUUUCUCAAAGUAUCAGAAUGAUACAGACUAGAGCUCUCUCGAGGUUUGUUUUGUAGGUUGCCUUAAUACACGAAUAUCAUAGCUCCGUUGUUGACUGUCCUUUAGGAUAAGGAAUCAUUGCUGCGGUACUUAUCAUGAGCCCUCUCAGAUAGUGGAUGUGAAGUACCCUCAGGGGUCACCUCGCUAUUUUUUAUACUAAAAAAGUAAAUAUUUCUUACGGUCGCCUUCCAUUGACAUGUCUGGACCGAUGCACCUGCUGCCUCUUGUGGAAAUUCCGCUCAUGUGGCGUGAGCACUUCCCUCCCUGCAACGGAGGCAGAGGGUGGAGCUGUGGAUUCUCGAUGCUCACCUCACUGGCUGCAGUUUGUUAGUAUCUGGCAAGCCCAGUGUCCUGAUGGCGAGCAUGGACACGAAAUGCAUUAGAACUUGGCAAUGAGAGAUUCCAUCUGUUGGUUUCCAGGGAUGUAAGUGAGUAAUAAAAGCUGGGUGAAUUUAAUCUGCUCUUUCUCUUCAAGUCAGAAGAACGUAUGCCUGUCUGCCUUCUCCUUACUCUUGCUACCUCUUUCUUCUUCUCCUCUUGCCCGGCCUCCUCCCGCACUCCCCACCCCCCACCUUAUGAAGAUGUGUCUCUUCCUUGUGUGCUUUGAACAGUGAGAUGUUCUCAAUGGUCCUUUAUCUUGCCCAGCAGAUAAUGAUCGUGUGACCCAGGCUGGACACCCCGUACCCUUCGAUCAAUGUGAGAGUGGAAGUGAAUGGCCCCCAGGAACUCGGGUUGUGUUGAAGGCGAUUUGUCUUUUCUUAGGCUGAUGUACAGCCUGUAAUGGUGGGCGGCAGACUCUAGUGGUGUCCCACAAAGUCAAUGACUGAAUGAAUCUUAUGAUGAACUUGAAUCCUGCCUGUAUUUCUAUUACAAAGGUAAUGAUUUUAUGUUAAAUAGCAUGUUCCGCCUUAACAAAUAUCUGCUCAUGAGUAAAUGAAAGCUUGUCUGAAUAUCUGUAACUGUGUUUGAAUUUGAAAUAUUCCCAUUUAAAAUUAGUGACAAGCAUAGGCAAUAUUUUCAUGUGCUGAUAUUCCAAUUCAAUGCAUUCUAUUUUAAAAUAGAAAUUAAAGCCAAGCCUGGGUAAUUCAUUUGGAUAAUUCAUUUGCCAAGUCUUACUGCUGAUGGUAGACAUAUAGAUAUGUAAGAUCAAGCAAUAUCUGAAGAACUUAGGGUACCUUAAGAGAGAAGAAAAUAAACAAUCAGAAAAUGCAACCAAACAAUAUACCCUUUUUUCUUUAGCAUGUUCGAAAGAGGAAGUUAAGUGUCAGUUCAGAGUGAUGAUUGCAGAGAUCAAGGUAGGGCUUCUUGUUUUCCUCUGGGAGUGUAAGAGCCUGGAUGGGUUCUCUUGUUUUUUCUGUGCAGAAGGUGACAGGCCCAGGAGAAGGAACACCUGGAAAUCAGCUGGCUUUUGAUAAACAUUUGUUGAAGAAUAGGUUGUGUUGUUAAGUGUCAGAAAGUUGGGCAAAAUAUUCAAGAAGUCCUUUGGAGAUUAUAUAUGUCUUCAAAAUGCCAAUAAGUGUCCUGUAAUUUCAGAUCUUUAUGGAGAAAUCAUGCUCUCUAGUCAGGGGCUAAAAUCUCUUGGAAACUUUCUCUGACUAACCCACCUCAAGAUGGCUCUCUGUUUGCUUUAACUAUAAUGUUCAUGUGGCCUGUCUAAUAUUCCCUAUGUUUAUAUGAUGUGUGACUACAUGAUACUUCAGGCUAAUUCCCAAAUUUAUUUCAUCUACUAGAUUAUCUUGUUUUAGGGCUUCAUGUCCUUUCUCUGCAUUCUCUAUAGCUCAGUACAUAUCUACUAUGCUCUCGACAUUUUUCCAUUUGGCUAUGAUGUGAUUUGAGUUUCAAAACAACUUUGUAAAGCGAAAAUAUUGUCAUUCUGAUUUUUGCAGAUGGGAAAAUGGAUGUAGACUGUCAAGUAACUUACACAAAUUUACGUAGCAAGUAAGUGGCAGAGUCCAGAUUUAGAUCAAAGUUCAUGAUCAUUCCUCAACACAGUUUCUGAAAGAAACAGGUUUAUUCCAAAAAAUGUACUAAGAGGUCCUUUAGCUGGCAAAAUAAAAUAAACAUGCAGUGGUUUUUUUGGGUCACAGAACUGGUAUAUCUUUCAUGCCAUCUGAAGAUUAUGUCUUUCCCAUGUUGGUCUUUCAUGGAGUGUGUAAUCCAAGGUUCUGCUUUGAAGUGGUGCUUAAUAGAGAUGGGAUUGUUGGCUGACAGUGGGAACCAAACCCUCGGAUGAUGGACCGUGGUGGUCGUCUAUUGAUCUAGAAAUGUAGUCGAAACAGUAAGGUAAGUUGACCAGGAAGGAAACAUAGCUCACAAGUAAGCAAUGUGAGUGCCUCUCACAGAGUUUUCUCUUUUCCUUUCCCCUGCACUGAGGGGUGGGCUAUUAUUUUAAAAAAUGUAAUACAUACCAAGUUCUGUGAUUGCUAAUUACUAUCAUCUUUCCUCUUUUCAUUCCCCACUGUUCCCCCUGCCAUCAUGAUGACAUCUCCUCCAGGCACUCAUAAAUUUCAUCCCUCCAAAAUGGAAUAUAAAAACCUAUUAAAAUACACCACACAUGGCGAUUAAUUGCCAGAAGAAAAUCACCCAGAACCUUGAUCUCAGACCUAUCUUUUAAAUGAUGUAAAUCCAAUUUAUCUCACACUUAAGCUUCUUUGAAUUCUAGUGUCCCAAUCACCCUAUGGUAGCCUUGCUCCCUUCUUUAGGGUAAUUUAAUAAAAAAGAUGGAAUUACCCCAUAUCCAUUUUUAAUUGCAUCUCUUUAGAUAAAAUAGGUUGCUAUCAGAAGAGUUUUCUUUCCUGAACUAACUGCAAAUGUGUUUUUAAUACAAACUGUAUCCGUCCGUAAGAAAUCUACCGGAGCGGUAAAAUGCUCAUGAAAAAUAGGCCCUGUGGGCUAACUCAUGAGUCCCAAUUGCAUUAGGGCAGUUUCACAUUCCAUCUUUAUUUUGAUGCUUCCUACUCUUCAGCUCUGUUUAUUCCUGGGACCCAUCGAGGGCUGUCGCAGUUAUCGAAAUGUCAUAAAAUAAGGCAUUCAAUGAUAUUUUUAGGUACAAAGUAACUUAUCCAUGCAUGAAGGUAAGCUGUAAGGUAAAUUGCUAACUUUGAUUGAACAAGGGAUUUACAGAUUGUCUCUGGGAUAAUUUGGCAACUGCGAUCUCAGGUGGUUUCGGUCCUUUUGAUGUGUGUCUGUGCUCUCUAAAGCUCCUUAGGUUUUAGCUGGGACACCCACUCUUCUGGCUCUGAAGCGGAGCUAAUCUGCUUUUCUGCAUCACAACCUUCAUCUGUGUUUUUGUUUUGCCUCAGCAAGUGAAGGAGAAGGAUCAGGGCAUUAAUCUCUCACUCCAUUAGAAGGAUGCAUUUCCACUUUCAUCCAAUUAGCUGCUGUAAUUUGAAGCUUUGGGGGCCUGCUGAUAAGGUGGGAGCCUGGCAGCAGCAAGGCCCACAGAAAGCUUUCAGAAGGCACACAGUGAGCCGUUAUCAUGAGUUUCACUGAAAAGAUCAAAUAUCACCUGCUCACCCCAGCCUGAUCUCAAAUCCUUAUAUAUUCAUUAACUGUCGAUAUGUGGUUACUUGGGGAGGUUACACAAGGCUUCACACAGAAGUUCUGUAAGGUCUGAAAGCACAUGGAACCCAAGCAGCCAGUAAUGAGUUCAAAUUUCUAGCACAGUUUGUUCUCAGGGGCAAAGGGUUUAAGCAACUGUCUUCUUUCCUUUUUUUAAUUUAUUUUUUAUUUUUUUCCCUUCUUUUAAAACAACAGUAUCCUAGACCUUUUAAUCUGACUCCCUUUGUUCAUUUUUACUGAUUUCUGACAUUAGCAGGGCAAAGGAACUAACAGGGACAAUGGAACCUGUUCUUUCUGGAAGCCUGAAGAGACUCCUGUAAGUUCCUAGCACAAAGAGGUGCUGAUUUGCAUAGGCAAAAGGGCCUGGAGGUCUUUUUUUUUUUUAAGAUUUUAUUUAUUUAUUUGACAGAGAGAGACAGCCAGCGAGAGAGGGAACACAAGCAGGGGGAG